rnacentral:rRNA from 1 species
ACGAACGCUGGCGGCGUGCUUAACCCAUGCACGUCGAACGGAAAGGCCCUGCUUUUGUGGGGUGCUCGAGUGGCGAACGGGUGAGUAACACGUGAGUAACCUGCCCUUGACUUUGGGAUAACUUCAGGGAACUGGGGCUAAUACCGGAUAGGAGCUCCUGCUGCAUGGUGGGGGUUGGAAAGUUUCGGCGGUUGGGGAUGGACUCGCGGCUUAUCAGCUUGUUGGUGGGGUAGUGGCUUACCAAGGCUUUGACGGGUAGCCGGCCUGAGAGGGUGACCGGCCACAUUGGGACUGAGAUACGGCCCAGACUCCUACGGGAGGCAGCAGUGGGGAAUAUUGCACAAUGGGCGGAAGCCUGAUGCAGCAACGCCGCGUGCGGGAUGACGGCCUUCGGGUUGUAAACCGCUUUCGCCUGUGGCGAAGCGUGAGUGACGGUAAUGGGUAAAGAAGCACCGGCUAACUACGAG